UCAGGAAACAGACGUAGGUGGGUUUGUAAGUCAGAUGUGAAAGCCUUCUGUUCAAAGGAAGAACGGCAUCUGAAACUGCAGAUCUUAGUGUAGGAGGGGAGAGUGGAACUUCUGGUGGAGCGGUGAAAUGCGUAGAUAUCAGAAGGAACGUCGGCGGCGAAAGCGACUCUCUGGCCUAUUACUGACACUGAGUGUGCGAAAGUUAGGGGAGCAAACGGGAUUAGAUACCCCGGUAGUCCUAACCGUAAACGAUGGGCACUAAGUAGAGGGGUUCUAA
rnacentral:rRNA from 1 species